rnacentral:piRNA from 1 species
UUUUUGGUUGGGCAAAAUUCGAGUCAAUUCU